rnacentral:rRNA from 1 species
UACGUAGGGUGCAAGCGUUGUCCGGAAUUAUUGGGCGUAAAGAGCUCGUAGGCGGUUUGUCGCGUCGAAUGUGAAAACCCGGGGCUCAACCCCGGGCCUGCAUUCGAUACGGGCAGACUAGAGUUCGGUAGGGGAGUCUGGAAUUCCUGGUGUAGCGGUGAAAUGCGCAGAUAUCAGGAGGAACACCGGUGGCGAAGGCGGGACUCUGGGCCGAUACUGACGCUGAGACGCGAAAGCGCGGGGAGCGAACGGG